CGAGCAAUGAGUGGGUCAGGAAGCCCAGCCUGGGCCGCUGUGUGGGAGGCGUGGCUGGCACUGGCGACGCCUUGGCAAAGCUGGUAGAAGAAGACAAGGUCUUCCCCAUCCUCACAAGUCUCCAUGGUCUGUAAAGAGAACAAACAAGGACCCUGUGCCUUCAGUGCCCUGGGGCUGAGAAGAGGGAAAGGCCAUGGGCAGAGUGACUUCCUCACCAAAUACUGCACCAGGGGUCCUUGCGGCAGCAGCUGCAGCUGAACAAGGCUCAGGAAGUUGGUGGCUACAAAGACGUGGGGGCAGCUGGGUCCCAGUGCUAGCCAGUGACGGAGCACAGCAGCCAGAAGUGCCAGGCCAUCCACCUGUCAAAGGGCAGAGCAUCUCUUCAUUUUCCUCCGCACCGAGUUGGUCCCCUUCCCGAAUUCAUCGAUCAGGACCAGCGAGUGCUCUGUGGCAUUGUUCACUGCUUUCGCCACCUGCUGGGCAUGAAGGGGACAAGGGAGCUUCCUUAGCGGUCAGGGCUGUGAUGUGUCAUCAUGAAUAAACUCCUUACAUGUGUC
rnacentral:lncRNA from 1 species